AUGUCAUCUUACCUGCUCUGUGUGGAUAUAUAAGCUGCUGUCUGUUCAUUGGAGGACAUCAUCGGACAAACAGCAACAGCUCCUGAACAGGUGGAAUCAGACGGCAUCCCGGCUUCAGUCACUGCAGUGAAGACAGCACCAGACCAAAUCUAACAGCACCUUCCACAAUGAUGAUGAAGAUCUGUGUCAUCCUCUUUCUGCUUGUUGCCUCCGGCAACGGACAGACCAGUACAACUGCUGAAGCAACAACAGCUGAAGCAACAACCACAGCUGAAGCAACAACAGUUGAAGCAACAACCACAGCUGCAGCAACAACAGCUGAAGCAACAACCACAGCUGAAGCAACAACAGCUGAAGCAACAACCACA